UUUUUAUACAUGAUAUUUGUGUGGAUCUCUUUGAGAAAAAUAUUGUAGCAAAGCCCAUUUAUAUGUAACCACGCCCAUUAUAAUUAUGUGCAGCCUAGCCUGCAUCUCAAGCGGAGACUUUCCUGGAAAGUUGGCUGGGUAUAAAUUAAAUCGACUGCUUUCGCAUAAUUAUAACCAUUAUAAUUUUAUAGCCACUGAAAACUUGAUGAAGAACCUUCAUCAAGAACAAGAACACUGACUCAGGACGAGGAGGACUUUAACAAGUUCCUGGAGAGUGUCAAAGCUCAGCAGCUCUCACUCUCCACAAAAGGUAUCACAUUAACUGACUCUUACGAUUAUUCUAGUAUUCAUAAUGUAAGUACGUACAUAUUGUAUACCAGUACAUGUGUUGUGUGUGGUGUCCCUAUAGUUGAGUGUGAGUGUGAGAGGCCAUAUAUAUAAGGAGGACAUACGUGUGUCGAGGCUGGAGGUGGCUCGUGUGCUGAGGGAGAGAAAUGAGUACAAAGAGAAGUACCUCUCACUAUUGGAGCAGAUUAGGAUGAGUGCUGACUCUGCUCUGUUUAAGUCCAAGAGCAAGAAAUCAAAGUGGCUCGACUAGUGAGUUGUGUCACGUCAGUUAGUGUGUAGAGUUGUAGUGAAGCUUUUCUUAUUCUAGUCACUCUAUAGAGAUUAUUAUAGAAUACAGUCAGGUUAAUUAAUGGACUCCAUAGCGGACCUAUGCCACCUCUAGAGUACAGCUAUACUGUUUCACUGUAUAUCUUGAAGUAAGAUUAUAAUCUAGUGCAAUAAGAUACUAUUAGUGUUAUGAUUCUACUAAAACUCGUUCUCAAAAGUUUCAGCCUAUUGUAGACUAGUUUUAUUUUAUUGCUCCCGUUACUUGCUACUUAGCCAGAUCAUAUAUACUAUUGUAUAACACUCCUCUGGUUUCUAUAGAUCUUUAUUAUUUAUGUCAACAGCCGAGGGUAGCACUUCAGUGCUCUAGUUCUAAUUCUGAUCGAUUUGUCUUCUGUACUAUUGUUUGAUUUUUCCACCCCUCAUCUUUUCCGGCCCCCAGUUAUGCGGCCAUUUUUCAGCCCGGCCAAGUGUUGAAGAGACAAGAAGAGGCACUGAGAAUGGAGGCCUACUAUGCUGUUAAGAAAGAGAAGGGCCUCACGUAAACUGGUCCCUCAGUGUGACUGUGUCCAUGUGACUCUUUAACCCCUCAGUUCCCGAGCCCCACCCCUCACUGUUUGACUCGGAAGAGGAGAGAUUUUGAUUCUGGGAGAAGGCGUCCACCCUACCCUCGGACAAGACCCCAACCAAGGACCUAAACUUGUUAUGAGACUGUUAAAUAUUAUUUUGUCUGUUUUUGUACUAUUUUCUGGCAAUGUAAUUAUGUAUGUACCACUUCAUGUCAUCAUAAUAACUAUAAUUAUAUGCGAUAAAAUUCUGU